UGGUCAAGUUAUUAAGGGUGCAGGGCGGAUGCCUUGGCACUAGGAGCCGAUGAAGGACGUGAUAAGCUGCGAUAAGCUUCGGGGAGUUGCACGUAAACUUUGAUCCGAAGAUUUCCGAAUGAGGAAACUCACUUAGAGUAAUGUCUAAGUAUCAUUAAGUGAAUACAUAGCUUAAUGAGGGGAACUCAGGGAACUGAAACAUCUAAGUACCUGAAGGAAGAGAAAGAAAUUCGAUUCCGUAAGUAGCGGCGAGCGAACGCGGAUUAGCCCAAACCAAUAAAGUUUUCUUUAUUGGGGUUGCGGACAUAUCAUAACGAAGAGGUAUCGUAAUUGAAGAGGUUUGGAAAGACCCACCACAGAAGGUAAUAGUCCUGUAUGUUAAACGAGAAGACUUUAGAUAUGAUCCAGAGUACCACGGGACACGUGAAACCCUGUGGGAAGCAGGAGGGACCACCCUCCAAGGCUAAAUACUACCUAGUGACCGAUAGCGUAUAGUACCGUGAGGGAAAGGUGAAAAGAACCCCGGGAGGGGAGUGAAAUAGAACCUGAAACCCUGCACUUACAAGCUGUGGAAGCACAUUUCUUGUGUGACCGCGUACUUUUUGUAGAACGGGCCAACGAGUUACGUUAAGUAGCAAGGUUAAGCACUUAAGGUGCGGAGCCGUAGCGAAAGCGAGUUUUAACUGAGCGUUCAGUUACUUGACGUAGACCCGAAACCGGGCGACCUACCCAUGAGCAGGAUGAAGCGAAAGUAAAAUUUCGUGGAGGUCCGAACCCACGAGCGUUGAAAAGCUCGGGGAUGACUUGUGGGUAGCGGUGAAAUUCCAAUCGAGCCCGGAGAUAGCUGGUUCUCCCCGAAAUAGCUUUAGGGCUAGCCUCAAGGUGAGAGAUACGGAGGUAGAGCACUGAAUGUCCUAGGGGGUAUUGCACCUACCGAAGACUAUCAAACUCCGAAUGCCGUCAUCUUAUACUUGGGAGUCAGACUGUGGGUGAUAAGAUUCAUAGUCGAAAGGGCAACAGCCCAGAUCGUCAGCUAAGGUCCCUAAAUGUAAGUUAAGUGGUAAAGGAUGUGGGAUUGCACAGACAACCAGGAUGUUGGCUUAGAAGCAGCCACUCAUUCAAAGAGUGCGUAAUAGCUCACUGGUCGAGUGAUCCUGCGCCGAAGAUUUCCGGGGCUAAAACUUACUACCGAAGCUACGGCAUCAGUAAUGAUGGGUAGGGGAGCUUCCCAUACGGGUUGAAGCAUGACCGUAAGGACAUGUGGACAGUAUGGGAGUGAGAAUGUUGGCAUGAGUAGCGAGAUGUGGGUGAGAAUCCCACAGGCCGUAAACCCAAGGUUUCCAGGGGAAGGUUCGUCCGCCCUGGGUUAGUCGGGACCUAAGCUGAGGCCGAAAGGCGUAGGUGAUGGACAACAGGUUGAUAUUCCUGUACUACCGAUAACCGUUUGAGAGAAGGGAUGACACAGUAGGAUAAGCUAAGCACACUGUUGGUUAUGUGUGCCCAAGCAUUGAGGCAGUCAAAGUAGGCAAAUCCGCUUUGAUAAUGCUGGGAUGUGAUGGGGAGCGAAAUUUAGUAGCGAAGUAGCUGAUUUCACACUGUCAAGAAAAGUCUCUAUCGAGGUUAAAGGUACCCGUACCGCAAACCGACACAGGUGGGUGAGGAGAGUAUCCUAAGGCCAGCGAGAGAACUGUUGUUAAGGAACUCGGCAAAAUGACCCCGUAACUUAGGGAUAAGGGGUGCCACCAUCAGGUGGCCGCAGAGAAUAGGCCCAAGCGACUGUUUACCAAAAACAUAGGUUUCUGCUAAGUCGCAAGACGAUGUAUAGGAGCUGACGCCUGCCCGGUGCUGGAAGGUUAAGGGGAUCUGUUAGAGCAAUCGAAGCAGUGAACUUAAGCCCCAGUAAACGGCGGCCGUAACUAUAACGGUCCUAAGGUAGCGAAAUUCCUUGUCGGGUAAGUUCCGACCCGCACGAAAGGCGUAACGAUUUGGGCACUGUCUCAACAACAGACUCGGUGAAAUUGUAAUUCCGGUGAAGAUGCCGGAUACCUGCGACAGGACGGAAAGACCCCAUGGAGCUUUACUGUAGCUUGACAUUGGGUCUUGGUACUACAUGUACAGGAUAGGUGGGAGGCUUUGAAACCAGGACGCCAGUUUUGGCGGAGCCAUCCUUGGGAUACCACCCUUGUAGUACUGGGACUCUAACCAUAGGCCAUGAAUCUGGUCUUGGGACACUGUCAGGUGGGCAGUUUGACUGGGGCGGUCGCCUCCCAAAAGGUAACGGAGGCGCUCAAAGGUUCUCUCAGUACGGUCGGAAAUCGUACGUAGAGUGUAAAGGCAAAAGAGAGCUUGAUUGCAAGACAUACAGGUCGAGCAAGGAUGAAAAUCGGACUUAGUGAUCCGGUGGUUCUGCGUGGAAGGGCCAUCGCUCAACGGAUAAAAGCUACCCUGGGGAUAACAGGCUUAUCUCCCCCAAGAGUCCACAUCGACGGGGAGGUUUGGCACCUCGAUGUCGGCUCAUCACAUCCUGGGGCUGUAGUAGGUCCCAAGGGUUGGGCUGUUCGCCCAUUAAAGUGGUACGCG
rnacentral:rRNA from 1 species